UUUUGUUGAGGCUGGCUUCUGAGAGAUAAGAUCUUGUUACUCCUAUUUUCUGAAUAUUUUCUUUUAUUAUAAAAAAAUGCUAUGAGACAAUGGUUUUUACCCUGGAAAUUGUAUUUUAAUAAAACACUGAUUGGCCUGUAGCCAGGCAGGAAGUACAGGUGGGACAGCUAGGCAGGAAGUAGAGGUGGUGUAAUGAGAACAGGAACAUUCUGCGAAGAUGAAAGCCCAUUCCUCUGCAGUCGUGAUCCAGCCACAGAAGAAGCAAGAUGUGACUGCCUUGCCAAAUAAGGUCCAGGAACCAGAAGUGCCUGAAGAUGAUCUGCAGACUCACAAACACAGCCUGGGCUCCUGGAGAAGACAUUCCCAGGGCCCUUCAGCAGAGCAUGGUUCCCUCUGAAGAUGAGAACCUGUGGAUUGCUUCUAGGCAAAUAUGAUUUCAAGACCAAAGCCUCUUGAAAGGUCCUCGUAAACACUCU